rnacentral:rRNA from 1 species
UACAGAGGGGGCUAGCGUUGUUCGGAAUUACUGGGCGUAAAGGGCGCGUAGGCGGCGCGACAAGUCACUUGUGAAAUCUCCGGGCUUAACUCGGAGCGGCCAAGUGAUACUGUCGUGCUAGAGUGCGGAAGGGGCAACUGGAAUUCUCGGUGUAGCGGUGAAAUGCGUAGAUAUCGAGAGGAACACCUGCGGCGAAGGCGGGUUGCUGGGCCGACACUGACGCUGAAGCGCGAAAGCCAGGGGAGCGAACGGG